rnacentral:hammerhead_ribozyme from 1 species
GUAUUGAUGAAGAGUCUAAACUAGGACGAAACAGCCGUCCAGUAC